rnacentral:misc_RNA from 1 species
UUUCCGUAGGUGAACCAGCGGAAGGAUCAUUAUAGUAUAACCGAGGUGCGAGGUCUUUCGCUGACCCGAUAUGUCGUGCAGGCCCGAGUGCCCUCACACACAUCCAUGGCACCCCUAGGUGCACAACCGCGUGGGCCCCCCUUUGGCCUGUGCGGAGGGGGGCUUACGGUUUCAUACAGACUUAGUAUGCAGUGUAGAAGGAAUUCUUUGUUUUUGCGAACACGUAAUCAAUACAACUUUCAACAAAGGAACACUUGGCUUUCGCAUCGCUGAAGAACG